rnacentral:rRNA from 1 species
GGUGAAAAGCACCCCGGAAGGGGAGUGAAAUAGAACCUGAAACCGUGUGCUUACAAGUAGUCAGAGCCCGUUAAUGGGUGAUGGCGUGCCUUUUGUAGAAUGAACCGGCGAGUUACGAUUUGAUGCAAGGUUAAGCAGUAAAUGUGGAGCCGUAGCGAAAGCGAGUCUGAAUAGGGCGUUUAGUAUUUGGUCGUAGACCCGAAACCAGGUGAUCUACCCUUGGUCAGGUUGAAGUUCAGGUAACACUGAAUGGAGGACCGAACCGACUUACGUUGAAAAGUGAGCGGAUGAACUGAGGGUAGCGGAGAAAUUCCAAUCGAACCUGGAGAUAGCUGGUUCUCUCCGAAAUAGCUUUAGGGCUAGCCUCAAGUGAUGAUUAUUGGAGGUAGAGCACUGUUUGGACGAGGGGCCCCUCUCGGGUUACCGAAUUCAGACAAACUCCGAAUGCCAAUUAAUUUAACUUGGGAGUCAGAACAUGGGUGAUAAGGUCCGUGUUCGAAAGGGAAACAGCCCAGACCACCAGCUAAGGUCCCAAAAUAUAUGUUAAGUGGAAAAGGAUGUGGCGUUGCCCAGACAACUAGGAUGUUGGCUUAGAAGCAGCCAUCAUUUAAAGAGUGCGUAAUAGCUCACUAGUCGAGUGACACUGCGCCGAAAAUGUACCGGGGCUAAACAUAUUACCGAAGCUGUGGAUUGUCCUUUGGACAAUGGUAGGAGAGCGUUCUAAGGGCGUUGAAGCAUGAUCGUAAGGACAUGUGGAGCGCUUAGAAGUGAGAAUGCCGGUGUGAGUAGCGAAAGACGGGUGAGAAUCCCGUCCACCGAUUGACUAAGGUUUCCAGAGGAAGGCUCGUCCGC